UGUAAAUAUAGGUGUUUACAACACCUGUCAGAGAAUCAGAGAAUGGUUGCAAUUUGAUUUUAGGAUUUUCCUCAUUUCGAUCUAAAUCAAUUAAGAGAGAUUGGGUUCUAGAUUCAGUUAAAUAAUCUUAACAAUUGAAUUGCCAAAGUUGCUCCAGGUGAUUUUGAUUCGCCUUGUACUCGUGUUUAAGUAUUGGAAAGUUACAAUUACUUGAAGCUGAGUAGAAGAAGAUGAGACAAAAGCAUGAAAGAAAAGAGAAGAAAGUUGAGGCAAUAUAUAAACUGUUUAGCCAUUGAACACUAAUAUGUUAGCCCAAGAUGCCAGCAAGCCUAUCAGAGAAAACAAGCUGGUAAUGGAUCCCAAAUGAUCAAGUUGGAAGAAAACCCCCACACUGCUAUUUCCUUGAUUAAUUAUCGACGGGAAGACUUUGGCUAUGCUUUGGAGGAUGAUAUCAAGCAUCAGUUCUUGAGUUUAGCAGUUGAUUAUUCAUCUUUAAUAUGUUAUCGGGUCUCUGCAAAGCAAAAGGCAAUGUUUUGGUGUCAAAUAGGUAGCAAGGUUAGUGGGAAACUACUUUGGUGAUGGCGUAAAUGACGUUAGCAAAACUACUUCUCCAUUUCUUAGUUUCGGUUCUUGGAGAAACUUCUUGUUGAGAGAUCAGUUAAGAAGAGAAGCAAAGAAAGUGUCGUGGAAAUUUGAAAGACUCAACACAAAGAGGAAAUGAUUAGUUUGUUCAUGUAAAGUACUAUAUAUGUGAUUUCAAUUGUAGAGUUUGAUAUAUCAUGUGCACAUCAAACGCAUGCUUUGGCUGUGAUGAAACUUGUGUGAAUGGAACCCUGAAGAGUUUCUUGGGCUGCUGCAUUGCUUUAUGCUUAACGUGAGUAGGUAUUCAAUGCAACUCGAUGCCUCUCAUGUUUAAGUUUUUCAAGCACCGGAUUAUUUGGUCAACUCAACUAAGGAUGCGAGCAAUGAAUAUCGCUACAGAAUCAUUAUUAAUUUCAUGUCAAGGGUCUACAUUGUAACUAAUUGAAAGGAUCGGGUUCUUGUGGCUGCAUUUCGAAAAUGCAAGCUUAUGUUGCUUAAACCGGGAUGAGAUGCUCAAGGAAGGCAUACUCUCUGGACCCUACAAGAUAAUUAGAGAGUAUUUGGCACUAUAAUCAAGGUGGAAGCAUAUGGAUUAUUGUGGAGAGAAAACACUGCCAAUGUCAUAUGUUCACUUUUAUGAUAAUUUUUGCCGUUUAGAUAAUUAAACAUAUAUAUUUUAGACUGUGUAGUUUGUUCUGUUGUAUAUGGCAAACAGUUAAAAUACUU